AAAGGCUUGGUCCUGACUUUAUUAUCAACUUUAACUAAACUUACACAUGCAAGUAUCCGCACCCCUGUGAGAAUGCCCCACAGUUCCCCAUGCGGGAACAAGGAGCCGGUAUCAGGCACAUCUAUUAGCCCAUGACGCCUUGCUUAGCCACACCCUCAAGGGAACUCAGCAGUGAUAAACAUUAAGCCAUAAGUGAAAACUUGACUUAGUUAAGGUUAAGAGGGCCGGUAAAACUCGUGCCAGCCACCGCGGUUAUACGAGAGGCCCAAGUUGAUAGCCACCGGCGUAAAGCGUGGUUAAGUUUAAACUCAUACUAAAGCCAAACAUCUUCAAGACUGUUAUACGUAACCGAAGACAGGAAGUUCAACCACGAAAGUGGCUUUAUCAAAUCUGAACCCACGAAAGCUAAGGAACAAACUGGGAUUAGAUACCCCACUAUGCCUAGCCCUAAACAUUGGUAGUACACCACACCCACUACCCGCCCGGGAACUACGAGCAAUAGCUUAAAACCCAAAGGACUUGGCGGUGCUUUAGAUCCACCUAGAGGAGCCUGUUCUAGAACCGAUAACCCCCGUUCAACCUCACCCUUCCUUGUUUAUCCCGCCUAUAUACCGCCGUCGCCAGCUUACCCUGUGAAGGAUGAAUAGUAAGCAAAACUGGCAUAGCCUAAAACGUCAGGUCGAGGUGUAGCGUAUGGAGGGGGAAGAAAUGGGCUACAUUCGCUAUUACAGCGAACACGAAAGAUGUACUGAAAUAACCAUCUGAAGGAGGAUUUAGCAGUAAGCAGGAAAUAGAGCGUCCCGCUGAAAUUGGCCCUGAAGCGCGCACACACCGCCCGUCACUCUCCCCAAAGCCACCCAUACAUUAACUAAAACCUAAUAAUCAAAAGGGGAGGCAAGUCGUAACAUGGUAAGUGUACCGGAAGGUGCACUUGGAAAAA
rnacentral:ncRNA from 1 species